rnacentral:rRNA from 1 species
UUGGAGGGCAAGUCUGGUGCCAGCAGCCGCGGUAAUUCCAGCUCCAAUAGCGUAUAUUAAAGUUGUUGAGGCUAAAAAGCUCGUAGUUGAACCUUGGGCCUAGCCGGCCGGUCCGCCUCACCGCGUGCACUGGCUCGGCUGGGUCUUUCCUUCUGGAGAACCGCAUGCCCUUCACUGGGUGUGCCGGGGAACCAGGACUUUUACNCUGAACAAAUUAGAUCGCUUAAAGAAGGCCUAUGCUCGAAUACAUUAGCAUGGAAUAAUAGAA